GUAGGAGUCUGAAUAUUCUAAUUAAUAGGUAAAAAUGUAGGAGUCUGAAUAUUCUAAUUAAUAGGUAAAAAUGUAGGAGUCUGAAUAUUCUAAUUAAUAGG